ACGUCGACACCACCUUCUGCCUCCUCUAUCAACGGUCGACGCUCGCCACCCAUCUCCUUCAUCGCCGUCGGCUGGCCACUUCAUCUCCUCUCCAAUUCAUUCCCACCUUUGUAUAUCUCCUCUUCGUGGUUAGAAGAGGAGUAACUAGUAGCCUUCCUUCGCAAAGCAGGACACCAACCUCCUCUUCGUGGUUAGAAGAGGAGGAACCGGAGCUUCCAGAUCCAGCCAGUCUCCAUCCCUAUCAUCUCCUCUUUAGGUUAGAAGAGGAGAAGCCCCUCCAUCUCCAUCAGCACACCAUCAAUUUCGGCAUCCACAACUUCUCCCUCUUUCAUUCGGACCAGAUCUGGACAGAACAUGCUCCGAUUCCCGAUCAGAUCCGCGUUCAUCACUACAGCUACUCCAUCAGUUCUGAUCUUCUUCAAGCUCUAGCAGAAGACUCCGUCAACUGAUCAACCACAUCCGAGCUUCAAUCUGCUCUUGGUCGAGUUUGGGUUUAUCUAUUGUUAGGUUUCAUGUAUUUGGUUCUAACCGGAUGAUGAAUGUAAGUUGUUUGAUGGAAUGUUUCUCUAAGUAGUAGAUUUUAGUUUGGUAAUUCCUUAGUUAGUUGUUUCGAUUGUUUUUGUUUGUGUUGAAUCUAUUAUGUUUAAGUUUUUCAUUUGAAUGUAAUUAGUUUAGGUUUUGUUAUAUGCUCUAAGUUUCGUAUCA